rnacentral:rRNA from 1 species
GAUGGACGCUAGCUACAGGCUUAACACAUGCAAGUCGAGGGGCAGCAUGGUCUUAGCUUGCUAAGGCCGAUGGCGACCGGCGUACGGGUGAGUAACACGUAUCCAACCUGCCGACUACUCUUGGACAGCCUUCUGAAAGGAAGAUUAAUACAAGCUGGCAUCAUGAGUUCACAUCUUCACAUGAUUAACGCUAUUCCGGUAGACGCUGGGGAUCCGUUCCAUUAGAUAGUCGGCGGGGUAACGGCCCACCUAGUCUUCGAUGGAUAGGGGUUCUGAGAGGAAGGCCCCCCACGUUGGAACUGAGACACGGUGCAAACGCCUACGGGAGGCAGCAGUGAGGAAUAUUGGGCAAUGGGGGAGAGCCUGAACCAGCCAAGUAGCGUGAAGGAUGACUGCCUUAUGGGUUGUAAACUUCUUUUAUAAAGGAAUAAGGUCGGGUAUGUAUACCCGUUUGCAUGUACUUUAUGAAUAAGGAUCGGCUAACUCCUUG